AGCGAACGCUGGCGGCAGGCUUAACACAUGCAAGUCGAGCGGGCGUAGCAAUACGUCAGCGGCAGACGGGUGAGUAACGCGUGGGAACAUACCUUUUGGUUCGGAACAACACAGGGAAACUUGUGCUAAUACCGAAUAAGCCCUUACGGGGAAAGAUUUAUCGCCGAAAGAUUGGCCCGCGUCUGAUUAGCUUGUUGGUGAGGUAACGGCUCACCAAGGCGACGAUCAGUAGCUGGCUGAGAGGAUGAUCAGCCACAUUGGGACUGAGACACGGCCCAAACUCCUACGGGAGGCAGCAGUGGGGAAUAUUGGACAAUGGGCGCAAGCCUGAUCCAGCCAUGCCGCGUGAGUGAUGAA
rnacentral:rRNA from 1 species